rnacentral:rRNA from 1 species
AACGAACACUGGCGGCAGGCUUAACACAUGCAAGUCGAGCGCCCCGCAAGGGGAGCGGCAGACGGGUGAGUAACGCGUGGGAAUCUACCCAUCUCUACGGAAUAACGCAUGGAAACGUGUGCUAAUACCGUAUACGUCCUUCGGGAGAAAGAUUUAUAGGAGAUGGAUGAGCCCGCGUUGGAUUAGCUAGUUGGUGGGGUAAAGGCCUACCAAGGCGACGAUCCAUAGCUGGUCUGAGAGGAUGAUCAGCCACACUGGGACUGAGACACGGCCCAGACUCCUACGGGAGGCAGCAGUGGGGAAUAUUGGACAAUGGGCGCAAGCCUGAUCCAGCCAUGCCGCGUGAGUGAUGAAGGCCCUAGGGUUGUAAAGCUCUUUCACCGGUGAAGAUAAUGACGGUAACCGGAGAAGAAGCCCCGGCUAACUUCGUGCCAGCCGCCGCAGUAAUAC